CACCGCGGUUAUACGAGAGGCCCCAGCUGAUUCUUACGGCGCAAAGAGUGGUUAUGGAAUAUAAACAACUAAAGCUGAAGUCCCCCUCCGCCGUCAUACGCACCUGGGGGCACGAAACCCUAUCACGAAAGUAGCUUUACUCAAACCCACCCGACCCCACGAUAACUGAGAUA
rnacentral:rRNA from 1 species